UAUGGCCAGGUUUGUACACCAGGACUUGCAUGGGUWAUAUAGAGGUUUCACAAAAGAUGUUACAGUCACUGAAUAACCUUGCUGUGCAGGCAAAAAUUUCUGAGUGGCUUCCCAGAAGCACGUCUSAGCAGAGUGAGCUCCUGGCUGACCUCUGCAGCGGGCCGGGACCUGGCUGCCUUUCAUGGAGAUGCGCUGAAGGACCCUCUCCCCUGUGACCGCGACGCAAAGGCAUCUGCACCCGCGAGGAGCGAAGGGCAGACGGAGCAGAGAGGAGUGAAAGAACUUGCCUAGGAAGCRCUCAGAAAAUCUGUCCAGCUCUCCAGAUCUCCUGAGGCCCCACCCAGAGACUUUAAGGGGGGAAAAUGACGAUGCAGCUGACCCAGUUGCUACUGGGAAUUCAGUGAUGUGAAGCACAAAGGCACUGGUGGGAUUUCACURCUCGGAGGAGAUGCUGAGCUUGUUCAGACAUCACCAAAGCCGGUCAGGUCAGCCGUAUAUUGAGCCUCUGUCACAUCCCGAGAGUCCCCAAAACUUCAGAAAGAAAAUUUUUUUGGUYCAUCAUAAGCCCAGCUACGAUAUUGAGGUUAACUCAAUUCCUGAUGCUCUAACUCUGGCGCUCCAUCCCCUUCUACAAAGCUGUCCUGCAUUUGGUUGUCUUCUCCUCCAUCCUGUGGGAUGUUGUUCCUCUUCCCUGUCUCCUGGAGGAGAGCCGAGGACUCACAGCGACCCUCGCACUGCCUGCUGGAGCACUGGCUGCGGGAGAGCACGGUGCUGCCUCGCCACAGCAGGAAAGACGGACACCAGCAGCAACCCCUCUGGAGAAUGGCAAGCUGGACGUUCAGACCUCCUUAUGGUGGGGCAGCCUUGACACAAUUCCCAUGGGAAAACUAAAAAACAUAGAGCUACAGUGCAAGGCAGCUCCAUCUCCUUUCCCUCUGGGUGAAGAAGUAUGUGCCAGCAGCUCACCCCCACCAAGGACACUCCUGAAAUGUGCUGAAUCUUGAAUAUUUCCCAAACAGUGUGGUGCCAGCUGGACAAUUUGGGAAGAACAUCAGCUUGUGCUGAAGUGGUCUGGAUUUCUCUCAGGGAGGUAAGGACCCCAAAUCUAGUACCUGAGAAUAACCCUUAUUCUGAACGGGAAGGGUCCAAUAAUCAAAGAGUCAUUCCUGGAAACCCCACAAUCCUGAUGGACAAUGACAGAACUGAAAGGCAAUUUAUGAAGUGACCUUGUGAGCUAGUGAGGAUCCCUAAAAUGGAAACCUGAACCAUAUUAGUGGUAAAAUGAGGAAGCUUUAUUAGAAACUAUCCAUGAACUAGCUGUUCUGUUCUCUGGACAAUCAAAUCAUCCCACUGUCUACUCCUACUACUUUUGUCAGGCUGGUAUACUUCAGCACGCAAGUAAGUAAAUAUAAUUAAAAAAUAACCCUGACAUGCUCAUUUGUCUAUCCUGUCUGUAUUUUUGAGGAUAUCCUGAGAUGAAUGGCUGCAAGAAGCCCCUGAUCCUGUUAUGAAAAGCACAG
rnacentral:lncRNA from 1 species